rnacentral:rRNA from 1 species
AUUGAACGCUGGCGGCAGGCCUAACACAUGCAAGUCGAACGAGUGGCGGACGGGUGAGUAAUGUCUGGGAAACUGCCCGAUGGAGGGGGAUAACUACUGGAAACGGUAGCUAAUACCGCAUACCAUCGGAUUAGCCCAGAUGGGAUUAGCUAGGGGGUGGGGUAAUGGCUCACCUGGGCGACGAUCCCUAGCGGGUCUGAGAGGAUGACCGCCCAAUCUGGACCUGAGAAACGGCCCAGACUCCUACGGGAGGCACAAGUGGGGAAUAUUGCACAAGGGGCGCAAGCCUGAUGCAGCCCUGCGGCGGGGAGGAAGAAGGCCUUCGGGUUGUAAAGUACUUUCAGCGAGGAGGCGGUACCCGCAGAAGAAGCACCGGCUAACUCCGUGCCAGCCGCCGCGGUAAUUC